rnacentral:rRNA from 1 species
UACCGGAUGCUUGUUUGAACCGCAUGGUUCAAAYAUAAAAGGUGGCUUCGGCUACCACUUACAGAUGGACCCGCGGCGCAUUAGCUAGUUGGUGAGGUAACGGCUCACCAAGGCAACGAUGCGUAGCCGACCUGMGAGGGUGAUCGGCCACACUGGGACUGAGACACGGCCCAGACUCCUACGGGAGGCAGCAGUAGGGAAUCUUCCGCAAUGGACGAAAGUCUGACGGAGCAACGCCGCGUGAGUGAUGAAGGUUUUCGGAUCGUAAAGCUCUGUUGUUAGGGAAGAACAAGUACCGUUCGAAUAGGGCGGUACCUUGACGGUACCUAACCAGAAAGCCACGGCUAACUACGUGCCAGCAGCCGCGGUAAUACGUAGGUGGCAAGCGUUGUCCGGAAUUAUUGGGCGUAAAGGGCUCGCA